UCAGGGAGGCUGAACCUUCCCACCAAUGCUCCGUUCCGUGUUGUUGCCAUGCAGUGAUGGCAUUCCAUGAUGGCAGCAGAGGGGCACUCUGACCAACUGCCGUCUGACACGGAAGUGCGGAUGAAGCAAAGGAGUGGAACUGAACUCCUUUGUGCAGAAAAAGUGGCACCCACUGACAUUCAGGGCUCUAGGCCCCGGGGCCAGUGCCGGCCUCACUGGAUGUGGCUGUGGCUUUAUGUCCUGGGGCUGGUGCCGGUCUUUCUUGCUGUGGAUGUGGCUUUAGGUGCAGGGCGGCUGUUGGCCUUUCUGGCUGUUGCUGGGGCUUUAGGCCCCGGGGACACUGCAGGCCUCUUGGGCUGGGGCUGUGGCUUCAGGCCACGUGGCCAGUGCUGGCCUCUGGAGUUCUGGCUGUGCCUUGAAGCCCCUGGACUGGUUCCAGCCUUUCAAGCUGUGGCUUUAGUCCCCACAGCUGGUGCCAGCCUGUCUAGCUGUGGAUGUGGCUUCAGGCCCUUGGGCUGGUGCUGGCCUCUCGGGCUGUGGCUGAGGCUUUAAGGCCCAGGGCCACAGCCAGCCACUCGGGUUGUGGCUUUAUGCCCUAGGGCUGGUGCCAGUCUGUCUGGCUGUGUUUUUAUGCCCCAGGGCUGGUGCUGGCCUCUCUGGCUGUGGCUUUAGGCCUUGCUGCUGGUGCCAGCCUCUCUGCCUGUCGCUGUGGCUUUAAGCCUCAGGGCAGAUGCCAGCUUCCCUGCCUGUGGUUGUGGCUUUCAGCCUAGGACUGGUGCAGGCCUCUCGUGCUGGUGCUGCGGCUUUAGGCCUCCGGGCCAAUGCUAGCCUGUCUGCCUAUGGCCUUAGGCCCUGGGCCGGUGUAGGCCUCUCAGGAUGUGGCUUUUGGCCCAAAGACUGCUCGUGGCCUCUGUGGCUGUGGCUUUAGGCCUUGGUGCUGGUGCCAGCCUCUCUGCCUGUGGCUUUGGCUUUAGGCCUUGGGCUGGUGCUGGCCUCUCGGGCUCAGGCUGGGGUUUUAGGCUCCUGGGUCAGUGCUGGCCUGCCUGCCUAUGGCUUCAGGCCCUGGGCUGGUAUAGGACUGUCGGCCUGUGUCUUUUGGCUUCAGGGCCACUGCAGGCCUCUCUGGCUGUGGCUUUAAGCCCCAUGGCCAGUGGAAGCCUCCGUGGCUGAGGCUUUAGGCCCCGGGGCGGGUGCCAGCCUCUCCUCUUGUGGCUUUAGGCCCUGGGCCUGUGCUGGCCACUCAGGCGGUGCCUUUAGGCCCUAGAGCUUGUGCUGGCCUAGAACAACGUGCAUUUUAAAAUUGGUCAUGGAAGGAAAUGAAAGCAAGAGAGCACUGAGCUCUUCUGUGUGUUUCUUGGAUUGGGAUAGAGACAGGAGAGUGUGCUCAGCCUCCCUCGUGUGGUUGCCUGUAUCCAGCAACAGCAGCCGCAGCAGAGAACAUCGUCACAUCUUUAUUAGGCGCUCCUCCGACUGUCUCUUUUUGUCUCUGUUUUCUGGAAUGCAGGCAUUUCUCUUUGUGGCCCACAAACACUUUGUGCCAGGAUAACCAAGUAUGAAUUCUCACUGCUCUUUACCCUGCUCAAGAGAAGAUGGCUGUACUGUGAGGGCAGGUGGGGGCAGGGACGAGGGUCAGGAGCAAGGGCAGAGUGCUUUCUUUGUUACUCAAUGGAAGGGCUGUGUUUUUCAGGUGGAUUUGUCGUGGUGCUUCUUACAAGGACUGACUAACAGUGGGAUGAGAUGUGCCCUGAAGGGGGUGUGCUUGCCACCUUGGAAAUAGGCAAAUACAAAUAAUUUAUCAGGACGGUAUCUCUGAUAAAGCAGAUUCUAUGCACAACUGCAAUGGCAGGCCUCCUGCAAGCAGGAGAGCACACAGAAAACAGCCUUCCAUUUUUACUCCCUGUUAUCGACGCUUACCUCUUUCUCCCCUCAUUGGUUCCUCAUUGGCUGAGUACUUCAGGUUCACAAUCUUCCCGAUGCUCAGCUAAACGUACGGAUACUGGAUCAACAUAACUUGUUGCUAGCUAAGCACAUGUCACUCAUUAGUUAACGUGUGCUCACGUGUGCUCAUUCAACACUCAGUCACUGUUUCUGGGCAUCUGCUUGCCCUUGGAUAGAGACAAGCUUGGCAGGAGGAUAGAGGGGAGUAUCUUGAUGCCUGCCUGUUGCACCUACCCACAGAGCGAGGCAAUCCAACCUUGUGCAGAGGCCCUGGCUUCUUUGAUGUUGGUCAAGUCUGUUUUUCUCUUGCUGAGGUUCUCUUAUCUAAACAGAAUAGCCCUACAAUAUGCUUUCUAGUCCAUCGUACUAUCCCUAUACUAUCUGGAACAUUUAAAAACCAUUGCAGUUCUGCAAGCAAGAACUAAUCACAUAAUUCAGCAGCUAUACUUCUGAAAUACGCUACUAACAUAUCCAGUAUUUCUACCUUUUCACAUCAGCUAUUUCUAAGGACAAGUUACAAAAUACAAAUCCAUUGUGCUCUACUUCUUCGGAUCAAUUCCCCAUUUUCGGUAUCUAAUGCAGAAACAACAUUCCAUUCCUACAAUUCCCCCCUUUUCCUUCUUCUUACAUUGUUGAUUUCUGCAAUUCUUUUAUAUGGUACAAUCUUACAGAUAUCAUCUUUGCUGUCUUCAUUCCCCAUCUCCUCUCACACCAUCAUUUUAUCCGAAUGUGGUGGUGGCUCCCUUGCUGUUUGCUUCAGUAGUGCUGUCUCGAUCAGUUGUUGAACCAGCCCCUUCACACACAGGAUAACACAGCAACCGAUGGCCAUCAGUGCUCCUUCUAGUUAAAUGCAUCAGGGAUUCCAAGGAGUGGAGAGUUAAAAUCGUCGGCUUGGCCACAUACUGCACAAUGACUGAGACUGGCAUACUUUGCAAAGCUUUUUGGUUUUUUUUUUUUUACAUAAGCAUUUGCAUCAAAAGCCGCACUUAUCAAAUUUCUCACUAUUACAAGAGCCCAUAUUUACUGUCUUUGGAUUUGCAGUUUUAAAGGUCCAGCUGACUUCGAUUCCCAUUGUGUUCAAGGAAUCUUACUGACCCUAGUCUAAUGCAUCCACAGCGCUUGUUCUUUAACUUUGACAGCUGUGUGGGACGUUAGCAGCACCUGGAACAGACCUUCCCAGCUUGGUUCCAGGGGUGGGUCUGAAAGAGAUCUAAUAUAUACACAUAAUCUCUUUGUAAAAUAUGAUUUAUCAAGCUGUCAAGGCCUUGGGCUCUUGUUCCUAG
ensembl:lncRNA